rnacentral:lncRNA from 1 species
UGCCUUCCUCUUUACAGCUCCAGCCAGCCUGUCCAUACCCCAAAGUAACCAAUCAGCUCCACACAGCAUCUUCUUGAUUCCCUUUGACUAGAUUCAAACCUUGGUGCCUUAUCCAUAUACUAUGCACUCUUCACAUCCUGAAUAGUGAAUAGUUAACCUGAAUAGUGACUAGUGAUUCACUAUUCACUUUUACACCAACUUGCCCAAACUUCUCCAAUCUUACUAUGGUAACUCUCCAAAGUUACUGUGGUAACUUUGGAGUUACUGUCUGACCCAAAUCUUCUCUAAAUGGUGUCUAAGUCCCUCCUGGACUUGACCCUAUCUUUGCACACUCAUCAGACCACUUCUGAAGCCUUAAGACUCUCCCAAAGCCUUAACAUACAAUCUCUGAAGAUCUUGCCAUGUCUUUGC